ACAUGAGAGUUUGAUCCCGGCUCAGAAUCAACGCUGGCGGCGCGCUUAACACAUGCAAGUCGAACGAGAAAGUGGAGCAAUCCAUGAGUACAGUGGCGCACUGGUGAGUAACACGUGGAUCAUUUACCUCCUUGUGGGGAAUAACCUUGGGAAACCGAGGCUAAUACCGCAUAAGUCCGAGAGGAGAAAGCCGCAAGGCGCAGGGAGAGAAGUCCGCGGCCGAUUAGCUAGUUGGUAGGGUAAUGGCCUACCAAGGCGACGAUCGGUAGCCGGCCUGAGAGGGCACACGGCCACACUGGCACUGAAACACGGGCCAGACUCCUACGGGAGGCAGCAGUGGGGAAUCUUGCACAAUGGGGGAAACCCUGAUGCAGCGACGCCGCGUGAGCGAUGAAGCCCUUCGGGGUGUAAAGCUCUUUCGACGGGGACGAUAAUGACGGUACCCGGAGAAGAAGCUGCGGCUAACUACGUGCCAGCAGCCGCGGUAAUACGUAGGCAGCAAGCGUUGUUCGGAAUUACUGGGCGUAAAGGGCGCGUAGGCGGCCUGCUAAGUCGAACGUGAAAUCCCCGGGCUCAACCCGGGAACUGCGUCCGAUACUGGCAGGCUUGAA
rnacentral:rRNA from 1 species